rnacentral:lncRNA from 1 species
CAAAAUAAAUAAUAUUAUAAAAAUGUAUCAUUGUUAUGUACAUAUAUAUAUUUUUAGUUUAUUUAAGAUUUUAAAAUGUUAUAUUUAUUUUUGUUGAUUAUGCUAAUAUGUGUUAAAUCUAGAAUGAUUAUAUAUAUAUAUAUAUAUAUCAUUGUACAAUAUGUUGAAUAGGUAAAAGGUAAUUUUUUUUUAAUAAUUUUUUUAUAUUUAAAACGCUUAGGUAAUUAUUUAUUAUUUUUUUUGUCUUUAAACAAAUACAAACUCGUUAUUAGUUAUAUAAAAAAUAAAUUAAUAUUUAAUUUAUUAAUUAAAAAAACGAAAAAAAAAAAAAACAAAAAAAAAAAAAAAAAAAAAAAAAAAAAAAAAAAAUGUUUAAAUGAAGUGAAAAUAAAAUGUGAUCAUGAAUUAGUUGAUAAACAAUACAUAAUAUGGAACAACGAAAAUGCGAGAAAAAACAACAAAAAAAUAAUUUUAAGUAAAAUGUAAUUAUUAUUAUAAUAUAUAUAUAUAUACAUAAAUGAUAUAAAUUGAAAAAAUAUGAAAGCAAAAAGAAUUACAUUGUUUAUUUAUACGUAAAAAACGUAUUUAUUUUUUUUUAUAAAUAUUUUAUUGACAUGAAUUUUUUUUUUAAUAUAUAUGAAUUUUAGAAAGUUGUAUAGUGUUAUUUAGUGCAUGUUUUAUAUUUUUAUGAAUGAUAAACUUAACCAUUUUUGCUACAUGAUUUUUUAAUAAACAUAAAAAUUUUUAGUAAGUUUACUUUUUU